rnacentral:rRNA from 1 species
UGGGGAAUAUUGGACAAUGGGGGGAACCCUGAUCCAGCCAUGCCGCGUGUGUGAAGAAGGCCUUAUGGUUGUAAAGCACUUUAAGCGAGGAGGAGGGUACUGGUAUUAAUACUACCAGCUACUGGACGUUACUCGCAGAAUAAGCACCGGCUAACUCUGUGCCAGCAGCCGCGGUAAUACAGAGGGUGCGAGCGUUAAUCGGAUUUACUGGGCGUAAAGCGUGCGUAGGCGGCUAAUUGAGUCGGAUGUGAAAUCCCCGAGCUUAACUUGGAAAUUGCAUUCGAUACUGGUUAGCUAGAGUGUGGGAGAGGAUGGUAGAAUUCCAGGUGUAGCGGUGAAAUGCGUAGAAAUCUGGAGGAAUACCGAUGGCGAAGGCAGCCAUCUGGCCUAACACUGACGCUGAGGUACGAAAGCAUGGGGAGCAAACAGG